GCGCGAGUAGCUCAGCUGGAUAGAGUACCAGGCUACGAACCUGUUGGUCGGGGGUUCGAAUCCCUCCUCGCGCGCCA
rnacentral:tRNA from 1 species